AUAUAUGGAUCAGUCAAAAGGCUCGCCUCCAUGGGGCAUGUAAGCUUUACUAUAAAAAAGAAAAAAUUUACAAGAGGAGAUCAUACUCUCAAUCCUCGUACACCAAUCUCUCUUACUCAACAAGAAGCUCUCUCUCAUAAAAGCUCUCUCUCAAGGAGACCCCCUAAAUCCCUGAAAUGACUAUUGUCGGAUAGUUUGCCCA
rnacentral:lncRNA from 1 species